AAGUCGUAACAAGGUUUCCGUAGGUGAACCUGCGGAAGGAUCAUUAGUGAAUAUUAGCGCAUCUCUUCGGAGAGCGUGACCUCCACUUUCUAACUCUGUGCAUUUAUUUGGCGGGAAACUAUGUAGAUCAGUAGUAAUACUCGAACUACAUGUUUCCUGCGGCUCAUUUUAUAACACUAGUUAAAGUAUGUAACGAAAUAUCGAAACAAAAAAAAACUUUCAACAACGGAUCUCUUGGCUUGC
rnacentral:misc_RNA from 1 species